GUGCAGGGGCGCUGGGGCUCCCGGGCCUCCUUAGUUUCCCGGCCCCAGCGUCCAUCCGUGUGGCCUGAAACUUCAGUUUCCUGAGCUUGUCUGGAGAGGGCUGCGCCCAGGUGCCCGGAGGGUCCCGGAGGGGGUCUGCGUUGUGUGUCUUCUACACGUUGCUGUAACCUCGAGGAGCUUUGACGGCCGGCGUGGGCUAACCGGGGCCGUUUGCUCUCGCAGUGGGUUAAACCAUCCACGGAUAAGGCAUAGGAUGAGGUGUCAACGUUUGUUUUGAAGUCUCAGGAUUCUUAAGACGGUGGUUUUCCAAAGAACUGUCCCACCCAGAAUCACUUGCUUAAAUACUUGCGUGAAGUACCAUCCUAAGGCUCAGGCUGUGCAUUUCUGUACCUGGCAGGAGUUUUGCAUUCUGCUCUUAAAAAGACGGGGUUUUGAAGAGCAGCUCAGGACCCCAGGCCCAGGGCACUGUCACCAUGAUGGUGCAGGGGUCACCCGAUCUUAGCUCUUCUCCCUGAACAAGUGGCGUGACCCUGGGUGCCCAGCGUAGGGGUGGGUGGGGGCAGGGCAGCACGGUGGGCCUAGGUGGCCAGCCACCCUCCCAGCCUCUUCCCUGCACCCCCCUAGCAGGGCCAGCCUGCCUCUCCGGGCCUGCAUGUGCUGGUGCUGGGAAGCCCUGGCCAGAGGCUGAUGUGAGCGUGUGCGGGAGAGACCGUCACAUCCUGAUGAUGCUUACAGUGGACUACACGCCGGCCCCAGCUAAGGGCCGUAGGGGGAUCGGGCCCCUCAAUUCUGGCCUGUGCUCCUCCAGCCGCCUGCCUGGCCCUGGGCCCUCACUGUGCUGCUCAUGGCUCCUGGCCAGGACCCUGCAUCGAAGCCCCUCUCCCCUGGGAGCAUGGAGGGACGGUCGCUGGUGGCACCAGGUCACUAGAUACACUGCUCCAUGGAGGGCCGCGGUCAAGCAAGUUGGAAGAGGCCCUGGAGCGCGGCCAGGCACUGUGGAGCUCAGCAUCCGGGGCCGUGACUCAGUGGGACUCUGGGCGGCUAGCCCAGUCCCCCCACACACAACCCGACCCCAGCCUCCUAAACCCUUGCGAGACCACAGUAGGAAUCAGAAACCAGGAGUCUGGGCCACACAGUAGGUACAAAAUAAAUGUUGUCUGAGGCCGUUUGGGGUCCACCCAGUGUGAGGAGCCUCCACCCUCUGGGGACAUUUCCCACCGCACCCUACCUUGGGCAUGGGAGGGUCACUGGUCGCAGGGACUUGGCCUGACUCAUCGUCUGCCUGGGGCCUUAAGUGCCCCGGGGCGGCGCUCCAGGGUGCUGCUAAUGAGCAAGUCAAAGAUCAGAAGUCCUGGUGUCCGCCUGGCAGAGGGUGUGGUUGGACAGGACAGGCCCCUCUCUGCAGAACCUGGGGCCAGGCGCGCACACACACACACACACACACACACACACCUGAGCGGUGCCUCACCCCCACUGCCACUCUGUCCCCUGAGGAAGGGGACACAUCACAAAGGCUUUGGAAGGUCUGAGCAAAGUCUAGGGGCCUGGCCCUGGCCCUGGGGCCCCGGCCCUUCCCUUCCCCAGGGCUGCGCCGCCAGCAGGCCCCCUGCACCCCCC
rnacentral:lncRNA from 1 species